rnacentral:rRNA from 1 species
CAGUCGCCGCGGUAAUACGGAGGGUGCAAGCGUUAAUCGGAAUUACUGGGCGUAAAGCGCACGCAGGCGGUCUGACAAGUCAGAUGUGAAAUCCCCGGGCUUAACCUGGGAACUGCAUUUGAAACUGUCAGGCUGGAGUCUUGUAGAGGGGGGUAGAAUUCCAGGUGUAGCGGUGAAAUGCGUAGAGAUCUGGAGGAAUACCGGUGGCGAAGGCGGCCCCCUGGACAAAGACUGACGCUCAGGUGCGAAAGCGUGGGGAGCAAACAGGAUUAGAUACCCCUGUAGUCCCUGUCUCUUAUAA